CUAUGCAAUAAAAGUCAAAAGAAAUAAAAUGUCGAAUCGAAUUGCGCGAACAACUUUUCUCAAAUACAAAACCAUAUAAGUAGUUAGAGUUUUUAAUGAAAGAGGCGGAAUUUGUGGCUCCAACUGCGCAAUUGUUUUAGAAACGACUUUUACAUAAAUCGCAGUUGGAUGUCUCAUAGGAUCUGGUGUGGUGGAAGGUCCGACAUUUGAAGGCGCAGUACCGUAAAGCCAAUGAUUCGCGUCAACGGGUGCUGGACUACAAGAAAAAGCUGUCGGCACAACCAUCGAAGGUUAAUAUUAUACAGAUAUUUUAAAUAAAACAUUUUUUACUAAUUUCAGCAAAAAUUGCUAAAAUGAGUCCGUACUACGACCAUCUGAGGGAAAUAUUUGGAAAGCGUUUGUCGGUCAUGCAACCGUUACUGGGUGAAAGUAACCUUCCUUCACCUCAGUUAUGUCCAGUUAGUCCUGCACCAGAAUUCGAAGUAGAAUUCUUAAAAGAAGAAUGUGUACCUGCUGCGCCAUCAAAUGCUGCACCUUCGAUUGCACCAAUCUCCACACUGGUAUCAACAUACCAACGCACAAUUCGGCCUCAGAAAUCAUCCGUUGGAUAAUUGGCGGCUAUCCAAGCAGAACAAA